rnacentral:lncRNA from 1 species
AAUACAUCCAAGUGAUUAAGAGCUUCUCUUUCGGGAUUUCAAUCCUUAUUACGUUAUUGGUGUUCUUGCUUCACUUGUGUAACAAUUACAAAACAUAUAUAAAAAAGAAAAAAGAAAAAAAAAAUUCUAUGAACAAGAAACAGACUGGAAACUUGAAGAAGCUAUUCAGCAAAUAUCGUCCACUACACCCAAAUUUAUAUCUGAGUUUUAGAUAACUCAUUUGCAUCGGAUCAUAGUUUAAAACUAUUAUAAUAGUGUGUAUAUUUGAUUUCUCCUUGUCGAUUCUAUUUUUGAUAAUACUAUUGCGAUUGUGCACUAACAGUUUCUAAUUGGAUCAACCUUAUUUACUCAUAACAAUUUUUUUUUGUAAUUUUUUGUAAUUGACUGUAAUGAAAUGAGGGAUAGUGGGAUAAGAGUGACAUCUAUGGGUUGAGUACGUAUAUUUUUAAUUCUUUUAAUAGAUAUAAAAUAUAACUCGGAAAUGUUACAAGAGAUACGAAUCAUACGAUACACAUUUACAAGAGGGAUCUAGUAAUUCCCAAGUUACUUAUUCCAUUCAAUCAAAAAUACGUUACUUAUAAUAUCGGCUAUAGAUAGAUCAUGCAUGCCUCCCGAGUCCCGACCCUUCUUAUCCCGGUCCUGUGCAAAUUUUUAGGUUAAAAUUAUUCAAUAUUGCAGUGUAUAAAACUCAUAUUUUAUAGAGCUUCUUUAAUGAUGAUAAUAAUAAGAAGAGCAAAACUAGAAAAAAAAAAAAA